UAACGUCAUAAAUACACCGUCUGGCUGCAAAGAGUAAAAAUCUAAGAACUAAACUACACUAUAAAACACAUCCUAAAUUAUUUGCAAUACAUACUCAAUUACUAAAUAUUGGUUGUGUCAACAACAAUGUGUUUUAUACAAACACAUUGUGGUUGACGAGAGAAUGAAACCAUUGAGACUCAAGGGAACAAACCAAACCUCGCCUAAAUGUUGAGUUAUUGGACAUUACUUAUAAUGACAGUCUACAGUUGAAGAAAACAUCACAUUAGUGUUUAUGUUACACAAAAGCAGCAAAAUAAUUGUACUUGGGAAAUAUUUUUGCCUGUUACAUGUAAUUAGAGAUUCUUUAAUAAAAACAGUAAUCAAUAGUUAACUUCUGACAAAUGAAAGAAAACACUAUAUAUGUGGUCAAAGUAAAACUGCCUUAACUUCCUCUUGCUUGUGGUUAAAAUCAGCCUGUUAUUUUGAAAGUUAUUUUUUUCAUCUCUGAUGUCUUGAAAGAAACAAGACAGCAUCAUGCAAAAGUAUUUUCACAUCCCGAAGAUUCUUCUGAACACUCCUCCAAAAUACAGAGACGGCACCAGACUACACAUCACUGAACUGACUGAAAAAAGCAAGAAUCAACACAAUGGCCGAUUACUGUCCUCGUAUCUGCUUUCAUAAAUGGUCUUCUGAUUAUUAUGAUCAUAGGCUUGGUGAAGAGCUACAUUGAUGUAGCUGGAAGAUCUAAAAAUUACACUGCAGCUAAAAACUCCAAUAAUCUACAGUGUGCUGAAAUGGAUUUUCCCGGAAACACCAGAUCUUGCCCAGAGCAGAUUCUGAUUGUCUACACCCAAUGUAUGAUGUAGUAUACAUUAUAAAUAAAUAUAUAAAUAAA